CGCAGGUGCGUGAAGCUGUCAUCAGCGCCACUACGGAGUGUGGGUCCUCCCGAAGGCACAGAGAGGCGAGCCGGCCUGGCCUCGGUCUCCGAGCUCUCCUGCGCCUUCUCUCCCACUCUAGGCCACGUGAACGCGACGAGAUAGGUAACGGGUCACCGUGUCCAGGAGGAAGUUUGCGGGCUGCGGGCGCCACGCAGGCUUCAGCCGUCCCACCUGCUGAGAAUUCCACGUUUAUCAACAAGGCGUCACCUGCGGUGGGGGGAUGCCGGGACGCCCUCGCCUUGCGCCAGCGGACCCGGGGCCUGCGGGUUCCCGGAUUAAGAAUGUGUAAAGCCAGACCCGGUACCAGCGUCUGCGCCUUCCGUCCUCAUCUGGGCCUGUGGGCCCCCACCUCAGCUCCUGAACACCCACACCUGAACCUGGCCACCUGGAAGCCCAUGUCAAAAAAAAAAAAAAAGCAGCCAGUGUCCAUCUCAAGCUGAAGGGUCCAGGCUUGACUGCAAAGACAGAGAUGAGAGGAGCGGCUUGCAAAGUGCAGAGAAAAAUCAAGAGCUGGUCACCAUACCUUACAAAAGCAUGCGUGUGGAGGGGACACCGGGUCUGGUAGAAGAAACGCCGAGAUUGACACAACUGAGGUGGCAGCCCCGCGCUGGCUGUACGGACUUGACAAGGCUCUCCAACCAUCUGAGCAGCGUCUUGAUAAACAGGACUAGUUAAGUUCUCCCGAAGUAUUAAGUUCGGAACUGGAGAAUGUGUGGAAGUUACUUCUGAACUGUGAAGUGCUAUCCUACCAGCUCAGUGACCACCUGGCUCAUGUUGUUCCCUCAGCGUUUUACUGUAUAUACGCCUUCAAAGGCGAGAAAGGAUUUGACACAUUUUGAAUUUGUAGCAAUACACCAAAUCGUUUUGUUGCAUAAACGUUUUUAAUUCUUUCAGUUAGGUUUUCUCUUUUCUAAAGGUGGUUUUAAACUUAACUUUUCACAUGUGGAUCUCUCUCAUCACUUUUAGUUGAGAAGGAGCAAAAAACGAGAGUAAAGCAAAAAUUAGAGUAAAACAGUUGGCAGGAGUUUCAGAUUUUUUUAUGUAUCCCAUCGUGCUGAACACAUUCCGUGGUGUUUUGUUGUUGUUGUUGUUUUGAAGUUGUUUUCUUAGCUGAUUUGUUAGUGAGCACAUCUCUUCCUAAAAUUCUCCAGAACAUGAGGAUUCGAGCCUGUACACCCAACCCUGGCUUCCUGCUAACGCUGGCUUGUUAGAGGAGGUAAGCGAGCUGGCCGUGGACCUAGGUAAGCUUUCAGUGGCUA